CACCUCGAUGGCCAUACUGAUAUAAUACACGUUCAACUGUAUAACCAUUGGCUACCAUGGGCAACGAAACGAAGAGACUUUCUCCUGCGACGUUAUUGGAGAAGAGAAGAUGAUGGCACAUACGUGAUUCUGUACCAUUCCGUGGUCCACAAAAAGUGUCC